GUUCAAAUGAGGAAGGGAUUAUGGUGGAUAACUAGGCACCCAGAGACGAGGAAGGGUGUGGUAAGCGACGAAAUGCUUCGGGGAGUUGAAAAUGAGCAUAGAUUCAAAGAUUCCUGAAUAGGUUAACCUUUUUAACUGCUGCUUAAUCCAUGGGCAGGCAAGAGACAAGAUGGCGAAUUGAAACAUCUUAGUAGCCAGAGGAAUAGAAAGAAAAAUUGAUUCCCUUAGUAGCGGCGAGAGAAAUGGGAGCAUCCUAAACCGUGAAAAUAGGGUUGUGGGAGAGAACAAUAUAAGCUCUGUGAUGCUAGGCAAAGCAGUUGAGUCCUGCACCCUAGAUGGUGAGAGUCCAAUAUCCAAAAUCAUCAUUGGGUUACGCUCUAACCCGAGUAGCAUGGGGCACGUGGAAUCCCAUGUGAAUCAGAAAGGACCACCUUGCAAGGCUAAAUACUCUUGGGUGACCGAUAGCGAAGUAAUACCGUGAGGGAAAGGUGAAAAGAACCCCCAUCGGGGAGUGAAAUAGAACAUGAUAUCGUAAACUCCCAAGUAGUGGGAGGCAAAUGAUAUCUCUGACCACGUUCCUAUUGAAGAAUGAGCUGGAAACUUAUAAGCAGUGGCUUGGGCAAGGGAACCCACCGGAGCCAUAGCGAGAGUGAGUCUUCAUGGGGAAAUUGUCACUGCUUAUGGACCUGAACCUGGGUGAUCUAUCCAUGACCAAGAUGAAGCUUGGGUGAAACUAAGUGGAGGUAAGAACCGACUAAUGUUGAAAAAUUAACGGAUGAGUCAUGGUUAGGGAUGAAAUGCCACUCGAACCCAUAGCUAUCUAGUUCUCCCCAAAAUGCAUUGAGGCAUAGCAGUUGACUGGACCAUUUAGGGGUAAAUCAUUGUUUUGGUACGGGCCACGAGAGCGGUACAAAAUCAAGGCAAAAUCUGAAUACUAGAUUGCCCCAAUAAAAGGGGUAAAGGUCAACGAAUGAGGUGAUGGGGGAUAAGCUUCAUCGUCGAGAGGGAAAUAGACCAGAUCAUCAACUAAGGCCCCUAAAUGAUCGUUCAAUGAUGAAGGAAGUAUGAGUGCAAAGACAACCAGGAGGUUUGCCUAGAAGUAGCCAACCUUUAAAGAGUGCGUAAUAGCUCACUGAUCGAGCGCUCUUACACCAAAGAUGAACGGGACUAAGCGAUCUGUCGAAGCUCUGGGAUGUAAAAAUACAUCGGUAGGGGAACGUUCCACCUCAGAGGGAAGCACUGGCGUGAUCAGGUGUGGACGAAGUGAAAGUGAGAAUUUCGGCUUGAGUAAUGCAAACAUUGGUGAGAAUCCAAUGCCCCGAAAACCUAAGGGUUCCUUUGCAAGGUUCAUCCACGGAGGGUGAGUUAGGGCCUAAUAUCAAGAUGAAAGGUGUAGUCGAUGGACAAUAGGUCAAUAUUCCUGUACUACCCCUUCUUGGUCUCGAGGGACGGAGGAGGCUAGGUUAGCCGAAAGAUGGUUAUCGGUUCAAGGACGCAAGGUGACCCUCUAUACAUUGAUUCAAAGGUAAAAGAAGAAUCAAAUAUAGGUGUGUACAAGGUGAGGUUGGGGGUGGAU
rfam:Picea glauca, whole genome shotgun sequence.